UACCGCUUGCGCUGUCCACAAAUUUCAAAAGUGUCAUUAAGCUAUCAACGUUGCUUUUGUAUCGACCUCUUUCCUCCUCUGGGUUUAGCAGAUAAGCACUUGGGCUCCUGUUUAUUCCUCCCUUUUCUACAUCCCCUUAGUUUAAUGGUGACGAGUUGUGAAGCCAUUCCAGAGUCAAGAUUAACAAAAGCAAACCUGGGACCCUGUGAAUCCUCAUCGGCCACUAUGAAAGUCCUGGCACGUAGUCGAAAAUGGACACCAGCAGUGGUUUGGUAAAUGUUAGCAUAGCCCAUCAUGUUGACCCCAGCUGCAGGACCAGUCAUGUCGUAGCUCCCAACUCCAAUCAAGUAUUCCCCAUUACUCACCCUAAUCAUCAGAUUAUUAAUAUUCACACACCAAAUUAUCACUAGUGAUAAAACAGAAGAGUAGUGGUAAUGGUAAUGUAUUUUCAGUCCCCUCAUGAUGCCUUUGUUUUCAAAAUUGAGUACGUAUAUUGUUACAUAAUGAAGUAUAUAUAUAUAUAUAUAUAUAUAUAUAUAUAUAUAUUAUCUGUGUGUGUAAUUCUGGGAAUUUUAGGAUUCUUCUUUCCACAAAUCAAACAUAAUAUUCCAUGGGUUAUAGCUACCUUUGGUGCUGUGAUUGUCUUUA